AGACGUCGUGGGACGUAUCUUAAUCUGGCUGGACAACGUCUGUCAUCCCAGAGCCAGAAAAGCAGCACUGAGGGCCACGGCCUUGCUGGCUCGUUCCCACCCCCAGGACGUGGUUCUGAGCUGUGUGGCACACACGCUGUCCUCGGACAGAUGUGCCAUUGAGCUGUGGAAGGCCCUGGGGGAAGAACCACAGCUCCCCAGGGAGGUGCUGCAGCAGCUGCUGGACAAGCUCCAGCAGAGACGCCGGGAGGAGAAGAGCAGCAAUGUGUCUCUGGCUCACGAAACAGUCAGUGGAGGCUGUGAAGACUCUUUUCUCCAUGCCCGGAUACUGGAAGGAAUUUGCCAGCAUCCAAUUUCAGCAGGGCUGGGACAUGAUAGCCUCACGAUAUUACUACUCACAAGGUGUUGGCGUGAUUGCAAGAGCCAUGAUCGAGUUUGAGAACCCUCAGCUCCCUGCCGUCUUCAGAGAGGCCGUCACCACUGUUCAAAGGGAGAAGGAGGAGGAGCAGAGAAAUAUCGCCAUGACUUUCUGCACUGAGUUUCUCCAGAGUCCUUCCAUUGAGACAAUACUGACAAAAUCAGAGCUCCCGGCGCAGCUCAUGGAAUGGACCCAAGACAAAAAUCCCAUUGUACGUCGGCUCAGUCUGCGAGGCCUUGGCAGUAUUGUGCUCCAGCCAGAAAGGGUGCAAUUGUUAUGGGCCCAGCUGCCGGCGAUCAUGGACAUGUCCUGUGACAGGGAUGGAGGGCGUGUCAUGGGGGCCAUAUAUAAAGCUGGAGAUAUCAUCUACCUCCUCGACAGGGAGGGGCUUGGCUCCAUCUCCCAGGACAUUGCAAUCAGCCUUCACCCCUUCAUUGAUGACGAGAGGGGCAGUGUGCGCUCCGCUGCCAUUUUACUGCUUGGCAACUUGAUGAGCAGUGUGAAGGACCUGGACAAACCCAUCGUGCAGCAGGAAAUGAUCCACUGCUUGCUCCCGUUGGUGCUGGAUCUUGAAGACCAGGAUGAGAGUGUGACACUGAGAUGAACUGACUCUCUUCCGCUGCGCAGUGUUUCUCAGGUGGGCUCAUUUGAAGAUGCUGUUCCGCAGCAUGGCCUGGGAUGGCUCCACACAGCUCCUGAAGUGUGCCUGGAAGUGCUUGGCAGAUGCAGAACAACAAGAGCCACAUCCCCAAAUUCCUGUUCCACGCCUUAGAAUACCUGGAAAGCUCACAGACAACAAUCAGACAUUCUGCAGCCCUGUUCAUUGGUAAGCAGAGCGACUUCACUUGAGCUUUUUUGAACUGCUUCCUUCAAAGCCCUUUUCUAGACUGCUGCUCUGUUCCCUCUCACAGCACCAGAAUCCUGAAAGUAAGUGUGUGUGGCGCGUACGUGUGUGUGUUGUGCUCGGCACA